rnacentral:tRNA from 1 species
GCUCUUGUAGUUGAACCAAACAACGAUGGUUUUUCGUACCAUAAGUCCUGGUGGAAGUCCAGGCAGGAGCC